ACGGACACACCAACACUUUACGAUGUGAAUCGCAGUGAGUUUGUUCGAGUUCGUCGAUUGAGGUUGCUUACAGAGAUUUGAUAUUUAGCUCGAUUGAUUGCGUCUGCUUCUCUCCAGGUGUUGAAAAUGAAGAAAGGAAGGCAUGGCCGGUAGAAGACCUUACUCAAGAAGAUAUUUCACUUGAGAAGAUUUUUGGAUUUUCUUUGAAGCUUUAGAUGUUCUAGGAAUAUUUUGCUAUUGACAUUUUGGAACUCGUACACUCUUUAAAUGUAAAACUUUUAUGUAGUUGGGUUUAACAUUUUGCUUUUAUGGAUAUUAUAACUAGC